GCGGGAUUGAUGUAGUGGUAGCCUGAUAGCUUCCCAAGCUAUACGCGCGGGUUCGAUUCCCGCAUCCCGCU
rnacentral:tRNA from 1 species